UACAGAGGGUGCAAGCGUUGUUCGGAAUUAUUGGGCGUAAAGGGCGCGUAGGCGGUGCUGUAAGUCUGUGGUGAAAUCUCUGGGCUCAACUCAGAGUCUGCCAUAGAAACUGCAGUGCUGGAGUGUGGGAGAGGUGAGUGGAAUUCCCGGUGUAGCGGUGAAAUGCGUAGAUAUCAGGAAGAACACCCGUGGCGAAGGCGGUUCUCUGGGACGGUACUGACGCUGAGACGCGAAAGCGUGGGGAGCGAACAGG
rnacentral:rRNA from 1 species